ACAAGUUCGGCGACGAGAGCGGCGACAACGACGUGACCCGCGGCCGCCAGUAAGCGACCGCGAGCGCCGUUUUUUUGGGCGAAUCGUUCGCGAAUCGUGAAUAAUUUGCGGAUAAUUAUUUUUGCAAAAGAAAACACGAUUUUUUUCGAUUUUUUCGGAAAAAUACGAAAACGGCCGUUUUAAACGUAUCUUCAAAAAUUCGCGAAUAAUUCGCGAAUUAUUCGCGAAUUUACUAACAGAGGGAUAAACUUCAAAUACCACCCCCGUUGUUUCGCACUUUCUUAUUUUAGUAUUAUGUGGUUUAAAGUGUAUCAAGUUAGUGUCCUGUGGUUUUAUUUUUAUCUUUUUGUCAACUUUUUUAUUAAUAUUUCGUUAAAUUAUAGACAAAAAACUUUAGAUACUCCACUUAAGUUUAUCGAAUAUUUAUUUUAAUAUCUUUUAGUUUUAACUUUGUUACUGAUUUACCGAAAAAAAUUAGUGAAAUCGAUAAUAAAAAAAUAAAAAUGAAUUCACAUGACACUAACUUAAUACACUUUAAACCUUUGAGUACUAAAAUGAGAAAGUAUGAAACCACAGAAAUGGCAUUUGAAGUUUUUCCUUUAUUAUAAUUUGGACUUAAACAUUCAAGUUAUUAUUACAAUUAAGUCCCACCAUGCAAUUUAUUUGAGUAUUAAAUGAUAAUGUAUCGUUAAUGUAGUAUCAAUAUUUCUUACUAUGACGAAUUGACGAUCUAUUACGUAGGAACAACUAAAAAAUUAUAUUGUUGUCACAUUAAUAAUAUAUUAUUAUUUAGUAAGUAAAAUUGCAUAAUAAAACUUGAUUGUAAUAAUAUAAAAAAUUGGGCUAAAAACGUAAUAAAUUAAAGUGGGAUGACUAGGGGUGGUCAUCCAACUCGUUAUUCGCGAGCCGGUUCGUAUUUGGUUUGAAAUGAGCUUGAGAUCGAAUCGCUCGUUUAAUAAACGAGUCGAACAUGAGCUUAAUUUUUCAACUCGUUUGUGUUCCACUGGAUAAUAACUCGAAUACAUAUAUUUUCUAUUUAUAUAUAUUAAUAUAUAAUUAUAUAUAUAAUACAGAUUUUUAUUAUUUAUUUUUUAGCCGAACCUAAAUAUAAAAUCCAAUUCAAUUUAAAAAAAGUCCAUUUAUAUAUAAAGUUUGAACCGUGAGAUUAAAGUCUAAUGGGUAAGAUCUCGAAAACUUAAAUCCUAUAUAUAUUCUUUCUAAUUUUUUAAUUUAUUGUUCGUGUUCAGCUUGCUAAUAAACGAGCAAAAUAUGAGCUUAAUUUUUCAACUCGAUACCGACCGUCCCUAGAGCAAGUGGCAAAAGGCUUGAUGGUUGAUAUCCGAGAUCCAAGUUCGAAUCCUAGUUGAUUCACAUUUCCAGCUAAGUUUAUUUUUAGAUGAAAUAAACAAAGCGGGUAGCGUGCUAUCUAUCUCUCAAAAAAAAAAAAAAAAAUUUCAACUCGAUAUUUUAAUCAGCCAGCUCGAGAUCGGCUCGUUUAUA
rnacentral:lncRNA from 1 species